GCCAAUUCUGCGAACGUUUAGAAAGAAAUAGAAAUUGAAAGUGGGAGGAAAGGAGAGAGAAAAAGCAUCGGCCGAGUUCGAUAGACGGCAACAACGCUUCGUUCGUUCGAGGAGAGGGAAAGGGGGGAGAAGGAGGAGGAUAAAGAAAACACACGAAAUUCCUUGUUUCAACAAUCGAGUUUCGCCAACUGUGUUUACGCGUUACAUCAUAGUUCCAAGUCCCAUCGUGGCGUAUAGGGAAAUGGGCGAAACGUGAUCGAUCGAUCCGAUCGUAAAUAUCAUGGUCAAUGCGUUUCGAUGACACGAGCAUGAAACUGUUGCUAACCGGUUGAAAGAGGAGGAGUUGAGAAAUAUUGGGAAAAAAGGAGGACGGUUUCGCAACGAGACGAAAGAUAAAGAGAGGAAAUAUUUCGUUUCUUUCUUUCUUUCUUUCUUUUCUUUUUUCUUUUUUUUUUUUUGAAGAAUAAAUAUGAAUGGUGAAUUUGGAUUUCUUUUCUUUCCCUCAUUCGUUUUAUUUCCCCUCGAGAUCGAUUCCGAACGAAAAAGUGCGUUUACCUGGAUUCUCUUACAUCUUAUCGGGCCAUCUUAUCGAACGAUGCACGCAUCGUCUCGCAUCGUCUAAUCUCGAUAAUAUCGAUUAAAGGAGAAUCGAGAAAUAACAAGGAAAAAAAAAAUACGCGAGAGAUUGAAGAAGAAUUAUAUAAAAAAAAAAAAAAUAUUUAUUACGUAGAAAGAAAGACGGAACGACACCGAUACAGAUAAGAGUUAGACAAACGGUAAAAUUUGUACAAGCUCGAUUUGCAUAGACGAUUAAAAUGCCCACGUCGUAGGCCGACGCUCGUCGAUCGAAACGAAUUUUUAUACGAUAUUUCUCUCUCCCGAACGAAACAUUGUAUCGAUCAGUAUUUAACAUUCGGUCGACCUUAUUGACAUUAUCAUAAUCGAAUUGGAAAGGUCAGGCUCGCCGAUUUAUCUAACUAUUUUUUUAUUUUUUACGCGGCUUAUAAAUAAUAAGGUAGGUAAUAUACGAUCGAGCCUUCUUCGUUGAUAAUACAGUUUCCAUGAAACACGGUGCGACAAAAAUUGCGACAAAUUUCUUCCCCGACGUAAUAAUUUUCGUUUUAUUCAAUAAUAUAUUAUCGUUCGAUUCGUAGGUUAGUUUUUCGCAUACAGGGAUACGAAGGGAUACGAAUUAACCGAUGUCGACGAAAGUAUCGACGAGGUUAUGUAUUUUUCACUCGUUGCGAAAGUGCGAUUAUCGAAUCGAAUCGAGCGGACCAAUCGUAUCGAAUCGAUCAAACUCGUGCCGAAUCGAGACUUCAUGGAAGCGAGCGAGUGAAUAAAGUAAGUGGAAGUCACGAUUUCGAUUAAUCACUCGAACGAUGAAAAUCGCAGUCGAUGUUAAACGAAGGAACGAAGAAAUCUCUUUCUCGCUCGCGUUGCGAAAUCGAGCCGUACCAUCGAAACAUGUAUCUCGCUCUCUUUCUACCUCGCUCGUAAAACAUAGCCAUACGGAUUCAAUGUCGUUGUUAUCGGGAUGUAACGCGCAUACCGAAAAUUAAAUCGAUUUCUUCGCCUCCCACUCCCAUUCUCCUCUCUCUCUCUCUCUCUCUUCUUCUAAUCCUUUUUUAUUCUCCCUUAUGUUUUCUCUACGCUCUACGCUCUGAAUAAUGUUACACGCAUACCUUUCCUUACGCGGUGAGUAACCUAACCUUUUUUACAUUAUUACACUAUCUUUCUCAUCGUUUCUUAAAGAUCCGAAAAUCAAUGUUUCGAUUCUUUCGGUUAACAAAUUUAUAAGCAAGAAUA